rnacentral:rRNA from 5 species
AAUCCAUAGGUUAAUGAGGCGAACCGGGGGAACUGAAACAUCUAAGUACCCCGAGGAAAAGAAAUCAACCGAGAUUCCCCCAGUAGCGGCGAGCGAACGGGGAGGAGCCCAGAGCCUGAAUCAGCAUGUGUGUUAGUGGAAGCGUCUGGAAAGGCGCGCGAUACAGGGUGACAGCCCCGUACACAAAAGCGCAUGUGCUGUGAGCUCGAUGAGUAGGGCGGGACACGUGGUAUCCUGUCUGAAUAUGGGGGGACCAUCCUCCAAGGCUAAAUACUCCUGACUGACCGAUAGUGAACCAGUACCGUGAGGGAAAGGCGAAAAGAACCCCGGCGAGGGGAGUGAAAAAGAACCUGAAACCG